UACGAAGGGGGCUAGCGUUGCUCGGAAUCACUGGGCGUAAAGCGCACGUAGGCGGCUUCUCAAGUCAGGGGUGAAAUCCUGGAGCUCAACUCCAGAACUGCCCUUGAUACUGAGGGGCUCGAGUCCGGGAGAGGUGAGUGGAACUGCGAGUGUAGAGGUGAAAUUCGUAGAUAUUCGCAAGAACACCAGUGGCGAAGGCGGCUCACUGGCCCGGUACUGACGCUGAGGUGCGAAAGCGUGGGGAGCAAACAGG
rnacentral:rRNA from 1 species